UCCUCGCACCCCAUCUAUUCCAAAGCAGAGAGAGAAAACUCCUUAUUCUCCGCCUCUCUUCCUCUCUGGUUUCUCUGUAUUUCUCUUCCUCCCUCACCUCAAGCCACCACCACUACCAUCAUCACUUUCAUGGCCGAGAAGUAAAAUCAGAGGAAUGAUUAUGAACUUGAUAAACCAUACAACCUACCUGUCUCUAUCUACCCUUCUUUCUGUCUCUAUCUCUCUGAAUAUGUUGCUGCUGCUUCGACUUCAGAAAAAAAAAAAGAAGUAAAGUUCCCACAUAGGAACCAUUUUCCUCUCAUCCUUCUCACCCGUUGAUCCAACCAUAUACUCAACGAAAGUUUCUUGUAAUUGAAUGAGAAAGACGGAUCUAGCUCCUAUGAAGUUGUCUUGGUGCUAAUCUGGCUGCCCCAACUUAUAAAUCUGGAGACAAAGGGAAUGAAUCGGUUUUUAUACUUGUUUGGUACUAAGCAGCUUUGCAACUUAAGAAAAGUGGUAGACUGAAAAAGUGAUAGAUUGAAUGUGAAGGUGCUACUUUUUCUGAGGUGAUGUAGAAAUGAUUGUUAUCUCUGGGAGAGUUGUUAUCCGGCUUGCUAGAAGGCUUAACGAGUUUUUCAAUCAGAUAAUGCCUAAAACUUGAAUCACCAAACAGCUUGGGAAAUGAAUCCCUAUUUUGGCAUGUGUAGACACCUAUGUUCAUCGCUCCACAGCAGCAGGGUGGUGUCACCUCUAGAGCACAGAGUAAUGUCGGAAACUCUUCUCAGGUCUCACAAUUUGUUCAUCAACAGGUCAACCAACAUUUCCAGUCAAUCCCUCUUCCAACCAAUGUUGCAGGACAGUUCUGUACACCAGGAUUUGAUCAACUCAAGCUUCCAGUCACCUGUUAUCAUGAACAAGUUGUCACAGAUUAUGGGUGAUUCAACUAAGUGACAUCCUGUCGGCAGAAUUCGGAGUAGCUCUUGCAGUGUGAGUGCACAAGAUUCUUCAGUAAACUAGACCUCGAGUAGGCAUGCAAAAGCAAGUGCAUAUGUCCUCCGAAACUUCGUUGGAGGAUGCCCUUCCUUCUCUUUUAUGCCAACGUGUCUACAUGUUCUGAUCACCAUGAAGUAAAGCCUGCAUAGUGUGAAUAAAUCAGAAAGUUGUUGAGUUUUAAGUUGCAAGGGUGCAAGAUGAAUCUAAAGUGCUGACUGCAGAGAGUGGAAUGUAACUUGGGAUGGCUCCUGAGGGUUAGCAUUUUUAGUGUUCUCUUCUAGUUUCCUUCAGUAGUCAUUAGACUCAUAACCUUCGGAGUCUUUCCAGACAGGAACUUAUGUUACUACAUUGUGUUUUUCAAAUUUCUUACAUUUAGACAUUCAUCUAUAUCCUCCAUGUUGGUUUCUGUGCAAAUUAUGAUUAAAACCCUAGCCGAUAGGCAUUAAAAAUUUGGAUAACUGAGGUUACGCCGCAACCACAACAUGUAGGUCAUAGAGCAAAGCCUUACGAUCACAAGGCGAACAUUUUCAGUUUCACAAUUGUGUUGUAGGAGAUGCUGACUAAAAAGGUAAAAACUCUAGUAAAAUUUUGUUUGGAAACACUGAACUUGGCGAGAAUUCUUAAGUAAAAUAUACACUUCACUUCAAAUAUACAGUUUUACUAAUUGUUACCAUGUGCCUUAACAUGCAGCUUCUUUACGAGUACAUGCCUACGGUUUUCACUGCCUAUAUAUGGUUUAUUUGUCCGUCUCAAUGAAGUCACUAUGUAAAUGUUGUUGUUGUCUUGAUUAUCUUUUUCACCCGAAAGAUUUAUUAUGAAAUGAUAGACCACCUCCGUGUAUAUUAUUAUCGACUAGUCAUGUAAACCUAGCAUAUAAGGCUUGACUUUUUACUCUUCUUCUGAAUGUAGUUCGAUACCUUCAUGGAUGCCGUCACUCUCUUCCCGUUGAUGGUCUCAUGAGGGUUGAUGAUGUCAUGGUUGAUGGUGAAAUCGUUGUUGCUGUUGGAUAAGGGAAAUAUUGGAAAGGGUUGUGCUUCUACAGGAUCUUCUCUCAAGCAAGCUGGUGCCAAGGUCCUAAUGACUGAAAUUGUGGUUGAAAAUUUUAGGACUUGUUGUAUCACUUCUCUUUAGGAAACCUUAACAAUAGGGAGUUGAAUUCUUUUUUUUUAAUGACUUUAGACUAAAUUUAUGAGCACAGUUCAAUGUAAUGGAGCUGUCAUUUGGUAUUAGAUGAUUCAGGUUUUAUUUGGAAUUUGAAUCUGAAUUUAAAUUGAAUUUUAGUAUUUUAAUAUUAUUUGUCA